rnacentral:rRNA from 1 species
AUGAACGCUAGCGGCAGGCUUAACACAUGCAAGUCGAGGGGCAACACGGGUAGCAAUACCUGGUGGCGACCGGCGCAAGGGUACGUAACGCGUGAGCAACAUACCCUAUACAGGGGGAUAAUCCAGGGAAACUUGGUCUAAUAUCCCAUAGGAUUUACAGAUGUCAUCAUCUAUAAAUUAAAGCUUCGGUGGUAUAGGAUUGGCUCGCGUGACAUUAGCUAGAUGGUGGGGUAACGGCCUACCAUGGCCAUGAUGUCUAGGGGUUCUGAGAGGAAGACCCCCCACACUGGGACUGAGACACGGCCCAGACUCCUACGGGAGGCAGCAGUGAGGAAUAUUGGACAAUGGAUGGAAAUCUGAUCCAGCCAUGCCGCGUGCAGGAAGACGGCCCUAUGGGUUGUAAACUGCUUUUAUAUGGGAGCAAUAAGGUCUACGCGUAGACCGAUGAGAGUACCAUAUGAAUAAGCAUCGGCUAACUCCGUG